rnacentral:rRNA from 1 species
ACGCUGGCGGCGUGCCUAAUACCUGCAAGUCCCAACGAACUCUGGUAUUGAUUGGUGCUUGCAUCAUGAUUUACAUUUGAGUGAGUGGCGAACUGGUGAGUAACACGUGGGAAACCUGCCCAGAAGCGGGGGAUAACACCUGGAAACAGAUGCUAAUACCGCAUAACAACUUGGACCGCAUGGUCCGAGUUUGAAAGAUGGCUUCGGCUAUCACUUUUGGAUGGUCCCGCGGCGUAUUAGCUAGAUGGUGGGGUAACGGCUCACCAUGGCAAUGAUACGUAGCCGACCUGAGAGGGUAAUCGGCCACAUUGGGACUGAGACACGGCCCAAACUCCUACGGGAGGCAGCAGUAGGGAAUCUUCCACAAUGGACGAAAGUCUGAUGGAGCAACGCCGCGUGAGUGAAGAAGGGUUUCGGCUCGUAAAACUCUGUUGUUAAAGAAGAACAUAUCUGAGAGUAACUGUUCAGGUAUUGACGGUAUUUAACCAGAAAGCCACGGCUAACUACGUGCCAGCAGCCGCGGUAAUACGUAGGUGGCAAGCGUUGUCCGGAUUUAUUGGGCGUAAAGCGAGCGCAGGCGGUUUUUUAAGUCUGAUGUGAAAGCCUUCGGCUCAACCGAAGAAGUGCAUCGGAAACUGGGAAACUUGAGUGCAGAAGAGGACAGUGGAACUCCAUGUGUAGCGGUGAAAUGCGUAGAUAUAUGGAAGAACACCAGUGGCGAAGGCGGCUGUCUGGUCUGUAACUGACGCUGAGGCUCGAAAGUAUGGGUAGCAAACAGGAUUAGAUACCCUGGUAGUCCAUACCGUAAACGAUGAAUGCUAAGUGUUGGAGGGUUUCCGCCCUUCAGUGCUGCAGCUAACGCAUUAAGCAUUCCGCCUGGGGAGUACGGCCGCAAGGCUGAAACUCAAAGGAAUUGACGGGGGCCCGCACAAGCGGUGGAGCAUGUGGUUUAAUUCGAAGCUACGCGAAGAACCUUACCAGGUCUUGACAUACUAUGCAAAUCUAAGAGAUUAGACGUUCCCUUCGGGGACAUGGAUACAGGUGGUGCAUGGUUGUCGUCAGCUCGUGUCGUGAGAUGUUGGGUUAAGUCCCGCAACGAGCGCAACCCUUAUUAUCAGUUGCCAGCAUUAAGUUGGGCACUCUGGUGAGACUGCCGGUGACAAACCGGAGGAAGGUGGGGAUGACGUCAAAUCAUCAUGCCCCUUAUGACCUGGGCUACACACGUGCUACAAUGGAUGGUACAACGAGUUGCGAACUCGCGAGAGUAAGCUAAUCUCUUAAAGCCAUUCUCAGUUCGGAUUGUAGGCUGCAACUCGCCUACAUGAAGUCGGAAUCGCUAGUAAUCGCGGAUCAGCAUGCCGCGGUGAAUACGUUCCCGGGCCUUGUACACACCGCCCGUCACACCAUGAGAGUUUGUAACACCCAAAGUCGGUGGGGUAACCUGUUUAGGAACCAGCCGCCUAACGGUGAGACAGUGUUACUUAGGG